rnacentral:rRNA from 1 species
UAGGGAAUCUUCCACAAUGGACGCAAGUCUGAUGGAGCAACGCCGCGUGAGUGAAGAAGGUUUUCGGAGCGUAAAGCUCUGUUGUUGGUGAAGAAGGAUAGAGGUAGUAACUGGCCUUUAUUUGACGGUAAUCAACCAGAAAGUCACGGCUAACUACGUGCCAGCAGCCGCGGUAAUACGUAGGUGGCAAGCGUUGGCCGGAGUUAUUGGGCGUAAAGCGAGCGCAGGCGGAAGAAUAAGUCUGAUGUGAAAGCCCUCGGCUUAACCGAGGAACUGCAUCGGAAACUGUUUUUCUUGAGUGCAGAAGAGGAGAGUGGAACUCCAUGUGUAGCGGUGGAAUGCGUAGAUAUAUGGAAGAACACCAGUGGCGAAGGCGACUCUCUGGUCUGCAACUGACGCUGAGGCUCGAAAGCAUGGGUAGCGAACAGG